AACGUAGGAGACAAACGUUAUCCGGAGUUACUGGGCGUAAAGGGCGUGCAGGUGGUCUGUUAAGUCUGGCGUGAAAGCUCUCGGCUAAACCGGGAGAGGUCGUUGGAUACUGGCGGACUAGAGGACGGUAGAGGCGUGUGGAAUUCCGGGGGUAGUGGUGAAAUGCGUAGAGAUCCGGAGGAACACCAGUGGCGAAGGCGACACGCUGGGCCGUACCUGACACUAAAACGCGACAGCAUGGGGAGCGAACGGG
rnacentral:rRNA from 1 species